rnacentral:rRNA from 1 species
GUUUGAUCCUGGCUCAGAUUGAACGCUGGCGGCAUGCCUUACACAUGCAAGUCGAACGGCAGCGCGGGGCAACCUGGCGGCGAGUGGCGAACGGGUGAGUAAUAUAUCGGAACGUACCCUGGAGUGGGGGAUAACGUAGCGAAAGUUACGCUAAUACCGCAUACGAUCUAAGGAUGAAAGUGGGGGACUCGCAAGAGCCUCAUGCUCCUGGAGCGGCCGAUAUCUGAUUAGCUAGUUGGUAGGGUAAAAGCCUACCAAGGCUUCGAUCAGUAGCUGGUCUGAGAGGACGACCAGCCACACUGGAACUGAGACACGGUCCAGACUCCUACGGGAGGCAGCAGUGGGGAAUUUUGGACAACGGGCGCAAGCCUGAUCCAGCAAUGCCGCGUGAGUGAAGAAGGCCUUCGGGUUGUAAAGCUCUUUUGUCAGGGAAGAAACGGUGAGAGCUAAUAUCUCUUGCUAAUGACGGUACCUGAAGAAUAGGCACCGGCUAACUACGUGCCAGCAGCCGCGGUAAUACGUAGGGUGCAAGCGUUAAUCGGAAUUACUGGGCGUAAAGCGUGCGCAGGCGGUUUUGUAAGUUUGUCGUGAAAGCCCCGGGCUCAACCUGGGAAUUGCAAUGAAGACUGCAAGGCUUGAAUCUGGCAGAGGGGGGUAGAAUUCCACGUGUAGCAGUGAAAUGCGUAGAGAUGUGGAGGAACACCGAUGGCGAAGGCAGCCCCCUGGGUCAAGAUUGACGCUCAUGCACGAAAGCGUGGGGAGCAAACAGGAUUAGAUACCCUGGUAGUCCACGCCCUAAACGAUGUCUACUAGUUGUCGGGCUUUAGUUAACUUGGUAACGCAGCUAACGCGUGAAGUAGACCGCCUGGGGAGUACGGUCGCAAGAUUAAAACUCAAAGGAAUUGACGG